rnacentral:tRNA from 1 species
AAGAUACUAGUAAAAUUUGAUAUUACACUGCCUUGUCAGGGCAGAAUUGCAAGUUAAAUCCUUGCGUAUCUUA